UCCGGUGCUUGCACCGGUGAAGAUCUAGCGGCGAACGGGUGAGUAACACGUGAGCAACCUGCCCCGAUGUCUGGGAUAACUCGAGGAAACUCGGGCUAAUACCGGAUGUCGUCUUCGGACCGCAUGGUCUGAUGACGAAAGAUUUAUCGCUUCGGGAGGGGCUCGCGUCCUAUCAGCUUGUUGGUGAGGUAACGGCUCACCAAGGCUUCGACGGGUAGCUGGUCUGAGAGGACGAUCAGCCACACUGGGACUGAGACACGGCCCAGACUCCUACGGGAGGCAGCAGUUAGGAAUCUUGCGCAAUGGGCGAAAGCCUGACGCAGCAACGCCGCGUGCGGGAGGAAGGCCUUCGGGUUGUAAACCGCUUUCAGUGGGGACGAAAACAGACGGUACCCACAGAAGAAGCCCCGGCCAACUACGUGCCAGCAGCCGCGGUAACACGUAGGGGGCGAGCGUUGUCCGGAUUUAUUGGGCGUAAAGAGCUCGUAGGCGGCUUGGUAAGUCAGGUGUGAAAACUCCGAGCUCAACUCGGAGACGCCAUCUGAUACUGCCAUGGCUAGAGUCCGGUAGGGGAGUGCGGAAUUCCUGGUGUAGCGGUGAAAUGCACAGAUAUCAGGAGGAACACCGAUGGCGAAGGCAGCACUCUGGGCCGGUACUGACGCUGAGGAGCGAAAGCGUGGGUAGCAAACAGGAUUAGAUACCCUGGUAGUCCACGCCGUAAACGUUGGGAACUAGGUGUGGGGAUCUGUCAACGAUCUCCGUG
rnacentral:rRNA from 1 species